rnacentral:rRNA from 1 species
GAUGAACGCUAGCGGCAGGCCUAACACAUGCAAGUCGAGGGGUAACAGGAAAGCUUGCUUUCGCUGACGACCGGCGCACGGGUGCGUAACGCGUAUGCAACCUACCUCAUACUGGAGGAUAGCCCCUGGAAACGGGGAUUAAUACUCCAUAGUAUCACGAAUUCGCAUGUUUUGUGAUUAAAGUUUUCGGUAUGAGAUGGGCAUGCGUCCCAUUAGCUUGUUGGUGAGGUAACGGCUCACCAAGGCAACGAUGGGUAGGGGGCCUGAGAGGGUGGUCCCCCACACUGGUACUGAGACACGGACCAGACUCCUACGGGAGGCAGCAGUGAGGAAUAUUGGUCAAUGGAGGCAACUCUGAACCAGCCAUGCCGCGUGAAGGAUGACGGCCCUAUGGGUUGUAAACUUCUUUUAUAGAGGAAGAAACUUGUCUACGUGUAGACAACUGACGGUACUCUACGAAUAAGGAUCGGCUAACUCCGUG